UACGUAGGGGGCGAGCGUUGUCCGGAUUUACUGGGCGUAAAGAGCGCGUAGGCGGAAAUUUAAGCGUGGCCUGAAAGCCCCCGGCUCAACUGGGGAGGGUCACGCGAUACUGAUCGACUCGAAGGCAGGAGAGGGUAGUGGAAUUCCCGGUGUAGUGGUGAAAUGCGUAGAUAUCGGGAGGAACACCAGUGGCGAAGGCGACUACCUGGCCUGUUCUUGACGCUGAGGCGCGAAAGCUAGGGGGAGCAAACGGGG
rnacentral:rRNA from 1 species